rnacentral:tRNA from 1 species
UCCAGAAUAGCUCAGUUGGCAGAGCGUUUAGACUGAAAAAUCUAAAGGUCCCUGGUUCGAUCCCGGGUUCCGGCA